rnacentral:rRNA from 1 species
GAUGAACGCUGGCGGCGCGCCUAACACAUGCAAGUCGAACGGCACCUAUCUUCGGAUAGAAGCGAGUGGCGAACGGCUGAGUAACACGUGGAGAACCUGCCCCCUCCCCCGGGAUAGCCGCCCGAAAGGACGGGUAAUACCGGAUACCCCCCGGGUGCCGCAUGGCGCCCGGGCUAAAGCCCCGACGGGAGGGGAUGGCUCCGCGGCCCAUCAGGUAGUUGGCGGGGUAACGGCCCACCAAGUCGACGAUCAGUAGCCGACCUGAGAGGGUGAUCGGCCACACUGGGACUGAGACACGGCCCAGACUCCUACGGGAGGCAGCAGUGGGGAAUAUUGCACAAUGGGCGAAAGCCUGAUGCAGCAACGCCGCGUGAGGGAAGACGGUUUUCGGAUUGUAAACCUCUGUUUUCGGUGACGAACAAAUGACGGUAACCGAGUAGGAAGCCACGGCUAACUACGUG